GGGGGGGGGGGUCGUAGAGGCGCACUUAGGUGUUGACUGUUGAGAAUGGCGACAUCGUCCGCGCCGAGGGGUUCGACUCAGUCGCCUCCUCUUCACUAUGGUGGCUGUGAACAAGGCGACGACGACGACGACGACUCCAGAUGAAUAAGAGCAAGGCGGAGGGACGACGGACCCUCGGCUCUCUUCGUUCGAAACUCAGGAAGGAUUGUUGUGCAGAAAUUAGGAAAGCGGAA
rnacentral:lncRNA from 1 species